rnacentral:rRNA from 1 species
CGCGUAGGCGGCGCAAGAAGUCAGGCGUGAAAGCCCCGGGCUCAACCUGGGAGGUGCGCUUGGGACCCUUGUGCUGGAGUUCGGGAGAGGAGAGUGGAAUUCCCAGUGUAGAGGUGAAAUUCGUAGAUAUUGGGAAGAACACCGGUGGCGAAGGCGGCUCUCUGGACCGAUACUGACGCUGAGGCGCGAAAGCGUGGGGAGCAAACAGGAUUAGAUACCCUGGUAGUCCACGCUGUAAACGAUGUGUGCUAGACGUUGGGGAGCCUAGCUCUUCGGUGUCGCCGCAAACGCUUUAAGCACACCGCCUGGGGAGUACGGCCGCAAGGUUAAA